CUCUAUUUAAACAAAUGGACGUUCGGUAGAUAGCUGGGAUCUCAGCGUACAGUUCGUGAGAAUACCGCUCAGAUCCCAGCAUAACUAACCGAAGGCCACGCGAAACACACAUUAUAUUCAAGUUACAUUCAAAGUACCGCUUGACAUUAGGGAAACAAACUACCGAACGCCCGGGGCUCCCGAACGGCCUGGAAGUCCAGUGGUAUUCGUGCCGUCGAGUAGCCGAUUUUAGUUCCAGGCGCUCGACGACCAAAUACCGCUGAGCUAACAAAGGACCCAAGAUGGCCGACCGCCGUGUGGUCGGUAGCCGAACGACG